UACGUAGGGGGCAAGCGUUGUCCGGAAUCAUUGGGCGUAAAGGGCGCGUAGGUGGCCCGGUCAGUCUUUGGUGAAAGCGCGGGGCUCAACCCUGCGUCGGCCAGGGAUACUGCCGCGGCUCGAGCACUGUAGAGGCAGGCGGAAUUCCGGGUGUAGCGGUGGAAUGCGUAGAGAUCCGGAAGAACACCGGUGGCGAAGGCGGCCUGCUGGGCAGUUUGGCUGACACUGAGGCGCGACAGCGUGGGGAGCAAACAGGG
rnacentral:rRNA from 1 species